rnacentral:rRNA from 1 species
UACAGAGGUGGCAAGCGUUGUUCGGAUUUAUUGGGCGUAAAGGGUCCGUAGGCGGCCUGGAAAGUUGGAUGUGGAAUCCCACAGCUUAACUGUGGAACUGCAUUCAAAACUUCUAGGCUCGAGUGUGAUAGGGGUAAAGGGAAUUCCCGGUGUAAGGGUGAAAUCUGCAGAGAUCGGGAGGAACACCAGUCGCGAAGGCGCUUUACUGGAUCACUACUGACGCUGAGGGACGAAAGCCAGGGGAGCAAACGGGAUUAGAUACCCGU